AUGAAGAGGAAAAGAUAGAAUGCUGGGCAAGUAGAGAAGAUAUGGAAAGACUCACCAGUGGGGACCUGAGGAGGAGCACUGAGCUUCAUUGACAGCUGCAAAGAGCCUCACUGAAAGCUGCACAGACUAAAAGCAGAACAGAACCUCGCUGAAAGAUAAACAGACUGAAAGCUGCUGCACAGAGCUUGAGGACUUCUAUUCAUCACAGCACUGCAACAAUGUGAGGGCAGAAGUGGUCCCCCAGCAGGCUUCAGUGACAUCAUGCCUGCGGGGAAAUGCCCACUUUCUUCUGCUGAGAGAUUUCGCUAUGUGAGCAAGAAGAAAGUUGGAGGCCAGGAGGCUUCGCCGCUAUUGGGUUCACCCCAUAAAUCUGCUGCGUGACGACCGUGGUCAUAUUGGUCAUCUUUAUGCUGAGCUCAGAUGUUUUCCGGAUAAAUUCUAUAACUUUGUCCGUAUGCCAAUGGAGGCAUUUGAUAAUCUUUUGGCCAUUGUUGGACCACAUCUUCAGCGUUCCCACACACAUUUGCGCAAAACAAUGUCACCAAUGAAGCAUCUGUUGAUCACCUUGAGAUUUCUUGCGACUGGGAAGAGUUAUGCCUCGUUACAUUUGCAAUUCCGUGUUGGCAAAUCAACCAUCAGCGGUAUUGUGAAGGAAACAUGCACCAUGAUUUGGCAGUACAUGCAGC